GAGUUUGAUCAUGGCUCAGGAUGAACGCUGGCGGCGUGCUUAACACAUGCAAGUCGAACGGUGAAGCCAAGCUUGCUUGGUGGAUCAGUGGCGAACGGGUGAGUAACACGUGAGAACCUGCCCUGGACUCUGGGAUAAGCGCUGGAAACGGUGUCUAAUACUGGAUAUGAGCUCUCAUCGCUUGGUGGGGGUUGGAAAGAUUUUUCGGUCUGGGAUGGGCUCGCGGCCUAUCAGCUUGUUGGUGAGGUAAUGGCUCACCAAGGCGUCGACGGGUAGCCGGCCUGAGAGGGUGACCGGCCACACUGGGACUGAGACACGGCCCAGACUCCUACGGGAGGCAGCAGUGGGGAAUAUUGCACAAUGGGCGGAAGCCUGAUGCAGCAACGCCGCGUGAGGGAUGACGGCCUUCGGGUUGUAAACCUCUUUUAGCAGGGAAGAAGCGAGAGUGACGGUACCUGCAGAAAAAGCGCCGGCUAACUACGUGCCAGCAGCCGCGGUAAUACGUAGGGCGCAAGCGUUAUCCGGAAUUAUUGGGCGUAAAGAGCUCGUAGGCGGUUUGUCGCGUCUGCUGUGAAAUCCCGAGGCUCAACCUCGGGCCUGCAGUGGGUACGGGCAGACUAGAGUGCGGUAGGGGAGAUUGGAAUUCCUGGUGUAGCGGUGGAAUGCGCAGAUAUCAGGAGGAGCACCGAUGGCGAAGGCAGAUCUCUGGGCCGUAACUGACGCUGAGGAGCGAAAGGGUGGGGAGCAAACAGGCUUAGAUACCCUGGUAGUCCACCCCGUAAACGUUGGGAACUAGUUGUGGGGACCAUUCCACGGUUUCCGUGACGCAGCUAACGCAUUAAGUUCCCCGCCUGGGGAGUACGGCCGCAAGGCUAAAACUCAAAGGAAUUGACGG
rnacentral:rRNA from 1 species